UACGUAGGGUGCGAGCGUUAAUCGGAAUUACUGGGCGUAAAGCGUGCGCAGGCGGCGCGUUAAGACAGGUGUGAAAGCCCCGGGCUCAACCUGGGAAUGCCAUUCGAGACUGCAUAGCUAGGGUGCGGAAGAGGGAAGCGGAAUUUCCGGUGUAGCGGUGAAAUGCGCAGAUAUCAGGAGGAACACCAAUUGCGAAGGCAGCUCGCUGGGACGUGACUGACGCUGAGACGCGAAAGCGUGGGGAGCAAACAGG
rnacentral:rRNA from 1 species